rnacentral:rRNA from 1 species
GACGAACGCUGGCGGCGUGCUUAACACAUGCAAGUCGAGCGGAAAGGCCCUUCGCUGUACUCGAGCGGCGAACGGGUGAAUAACACGUGAGUAACCUGCCCCCGACUUUGUGAUAACCCUCGGACACGGGGGAUCAUACCCUAUACGACACAGCUUCGCAUGGCGUCUGUGUGGAAAGUUUUUCGGGUUUGGAUGGGCUCGCGGGCUAUCAGCUUGUUGGUGGGGUUAUGGCCUACCAAGGCGACGACGGGUAGCCGGCCUGAGAGGGCGACCGGCCACACUGGGACUGAGACACGGCCCAGACUCCUACGGGAGGCAGCAGUGGGGAAUAUUGCACAAUGGGCGGAAGCCUGAUGCAGCGACGCCGCGUGAGGGAUGACGGCCUUCGGGUUGUAAACCUCUUUCAGCAGGGACGAAGCGUAAGUGACGGUACCUGCAGAAGAAGCGCCGGCUAACUACGUG